rnacentral:lncRNA from 1 species
AAGAACGGCAUUGUGAGUUCCGGUUCCCAUGGGAGCUUGGAAGACAGAGUCAACCAUACCUUUGCCUCUGGUGAUGUCUUGUUGAUCAUCAGACGUGUCGUAGGCAAGUCCCCUCCAUCUGUCUCCAUCGGUUUGUUUGUCUUCUUUGACAGCGACCACUUUGAAUGAUCCGUUGCUCUUCUUGUUGUUGCUCUGUGUGAAUCUCGACGCGGUUACAACUUUCUUUCCCAAGAAGGUCGUAGCUGGGACUGAAGCAGCUCCUGCUCCUGACCCGUUCAAGCUCAACUACAACACACACACACAGAAACAAGCCAAACUCAGUUCUGAACUCAAACUUAGAUUCUAACGACGUAGUGAAGACGGAGAAGGAGACUGGUUGA